UUUUGACUUACUUUCCAGAUUAAAAGAUAAGCCGGCACAGUGGCUCACACCCGUAUAAUCCCAGCACUUUGGGAGGCUAAGGCGGGCAGAUCACGAGGUCAGGAGAUCAAGACCAUCCUGGCUAACACAGUGAAACCCCGUCUCUACUAAAAACACAAAAACAAAAUUAGCCAGGCGUGGUGGCGGGCACCUGUAGUCCCAGCUACUCGGGAGGCUGAGGCAGAAGAAUGACGUGAACCUGGGAGGCAGAGCUUGCACUGAGCCGAGAUUGCGCCACUGCACUCCAGCCUGGGAAACAUAGCCAGACUCAGUCUCAAAAAAAAAAAAAAAAAAAAAAAAAAGUAUUAACUUCUGCUUAAUCUACUUAAAAACCUAGGCUGAAACUGAAGUUUACAGACUUAAAGGAUUCCUAACUGAAUACAGAAUGAUCUCCCAAGAACACGCAUACAGGAAUGUUUCCAAAUUCUAUUAAACAGUAUUGAGAUCUGCAAUAACGCGGUAUUUUUGUAUCUAAGGAAAUAUUACCCCUUAACAUACUUAAAAACUCAGCUCCUUUUCUCACCAAUGUUACCAUACUUGACAAUACUGAUCCUCACCUUCACCCC
rnacentral:lncRNA from 1 species